rnacentral:tRNA from 1 species
GCCGGCUUAGCACAGUGGUAGUGCAGCGGUUUUGUAAACCGAAGGUCACGAGUUCAAAUCUUGUAGCCGGCACCA